AAGGGUGCAAGCGGUACUCGGAAUUCCUGGGCGUAAAGCGUGCGUAGGUGGUUCGUUAAGUCUGAUGUGAAAGCCCCGGGCUCAACCUGGGAACUGCAUUGGAUACUGGCGAUCUGGAGUGCGGUAGAGGGUGGCGGAAUUCCCGGUGUAGCAGUGAAAUGCGUAGAUAUCGGGAGGAACAUCCGUGGCGAAGGCGGCCACCUGGACCAGCACUGACACUGAGGCACGAAAGCGUGGGGAGCGAACAGG
rnacentral:rRNA from 1 species